CCUACGGGAGGCAGCAGUGAGGAAUUUUCCGCAAUGGGCGAAAGCCUGACGGAGCAAUACCGCGUGAGGGAUGAAGGAUUUUGGUCUGUAAACCUCUUUUCUCAAGAAAGAAGUUCUGACGGUACUUGAGGAAUAAGCAUCGGCUAACUCCGUGCCAGCAGCCGCGGUAAUACGGGGGAUGCAAGCGUUAUCCGGAAUGAUUGGGCGUAAAGCGCCUGUAGGUUGUUUAUUAAGUCCGUUGUUAAAGCCUAGGGCUUAACCCUAGAAAAGCAAUGGAAACUAGUAGACUAGAGUAUGGCAGGGGUAGAGGGAAUUUCUAGUGUAGCGGUGAAAUGCGUAGAUAUUAGAAAGAACACCGGUGGCGAAAGCGCUCUACUGGACCAUUACUGACACUCAGAGGCGAAAGCUAGGGUAGCAAAAGGGAUUAGAUACCCCUGUAGUCCUAGCCGUAAACGAUGGAUACUAGAUGUUGUGNAUAUAGUACAGUAUCGUAGACUACGUACGUUAACGUACGUCCGUCCGUCGGGUAGGUACGUCGUCGCGAGGUAGGUAACGUACAAGUAGAAGUAGACGGCGUGAGUAACGUCGCCGACGGACGACGACGAGGGAGGAGG
rnacentral:rRNA from 1 species